rnacentral:lncRNA from 1 species
GGCCGUUACUGGUUUGACUGCAUGGGCUUUUUCCUCCCUUCUUUUUAUGACGAUUACUUUACGACCAGGGAUUUUGCCUUUUGCAGCAGCAGGCUUGGAGCCCGCCACCUUGUGUUUACGAGGGCUUUCGGGAAGGUUUAUGAGGCCACUGCUGGGUCCUUCCUUCUGGCUCCUGCCAGUCUAGGGCAGUGCAAGCGCCUCACAGUGUGGCACACAGUACCAGAGUUCACCUGUCCAGCCACGUCCCAAGGCCAGGUGCCUCCCUCCUACCAUUGCUCUUACGCGUUUGGCUGUUAUCAAGGAAAACAGAGCGUCAGCUGAACACAAGCACUGUGACACCGGGACAGGUGAUGUGAGAGCUGAACCGGCUCCCAACUGACUACUUGGCGGGCCGCGUUUAUAGCUGGACAGGACAGACAAGUUCAGCGACGGCAGGUAAAUGCGACUGUAACUACGGAGGGAUGGUGGCGGAGAGGAGUCCUCCUGCUCCUGGGAAAGUCAGGUGGGCCCUGAGCCUCACUUUGCGCAUGUAACUUCCUGUGACUUGUGGACAGCACCAGCCAGCACUUCCUGAGUGUCUGGGCCCAGGUCAUCCUCCUUGUGUCUGCACACAGCCGGCUGGCAAGGCAGAAACUACCAUCAGCCCCACUGUACAGCGGGG